UACGUAGGGUGCAAGCGUUGUCCGGAAUUAUUGGGCGUAAAGAGCUCGUAGGCGGUUCGUCGCGUCGGCUGUGAAAAUCCCCGAGGCUCAACCUCGGGUCUGCAGUCGAUACGGGGCGGACUGGAGUUCGGCAGGGGAGACUGGAAUUCCUGGUGUAGCGGUGAAAUGCGCAGAUAUCAGGAGGAACACCGGUGGCGAAGGCGGGUCUCUGGGCCGAUACUGACGCUGAGGAGCGAAAGCGUGGGGAGCGAACAGG
rnacentral:rRNA from 1 species